rnacentral:rRNA from 1 species
GACGAACCAAGCAAACGUUGUUCGGAUUCACUGGGCUUAAAGGGCGCGUAGGCGGUCUCUCAAGUCCGGGGUGAAAUCUUUCGGCUCAACCGGAAAAUUGCCUUGGAUACUGUGAGGCUCGAGGGAGGUAGGGGUCACGGGAACAUCCAGUGGAGCGGUGAAAUGCGUUGAUAUUGGAUGGAACGCCGGUGGCGAAAGCGCGUGACUGGACCUUUUCUGACGCUGAGUGCGCGAAAGCCAGGGUAGCGAACGGG